rnacentral:rRNA from 1 species
UAAGUAGGCGGUGGAAAAUGAACCAAAUGGGAUUCCUUAAGUAAUUGCGAAUGAACAAGGAAUUGCUCAGCUUGAAAAUUGGGGCCUUCGGCCUUGAAUUGUAAUUUUGAAAUGUAUUGCCAAUGGAGGCGCAGGUGCAAGCCUAUUGAAAGAAAGCGUCAAUGAGGGUGAGAUUCCUUUUUGUCAUUUGCAGUCCUCCGUGCACGGUGUAUAUUUGACGAGUCACACUCCUCGGCAUUGGAAUGCAAAGUGGGUGGUAAAUUCCAUGUAAAGGAAAAUAUAUUAUUGAGACUGAUAGCAAACAAGUACCAUGAGGGAAAUAUGAAAAGGACUUUGAAAAGAGAAUUAAAAGAGUCUGCAUUUGCUGAACAGAAAGCAAACAGAAUUGAUCUACUUGGUGAGAUUGUUGCGUCCACUUGUGGGCGCAAUGGUUCUUGCCUUGGAUGUCAGCGUCUAUUUCUGCAAAUCAUUACCCUUGCACAUGAAUGGUAAUUUGCCUGUGGGCAUUGGAAUGCAUGUGUUUGCAAUGAUUUGUGUUUUGAUACAUGUGUCUGGCGUUCGUGUGUGUGCCUUCUUGCCAACAGGGGAGGGCUCUCCUCCCUGGGCACUGCCAAGCCCUUGCACAGUGUUGCUGGCAAAAUGUUUCUGCUUGACCCG